GUGAAGGCGGCUCAGUUGGUAGAGCAGGCACACAAUAUGCAGGGACUAUAGUCCUCAAUGCGGUUGUCCUGGGUUCGAUUCCCAGUCUCGAGCUAUUUACU